GGCGGCUCUCGCGAUAGUUGCCUGGGGUUUGAGCGCGGGGCCCGACGGUCCGGAAAGCUGGAACUACGGGUGGGGAACAUGUCGGAUUCGGAGCUCGGCAGGAAGUGGGACCGGUGCUUGGCGGAUGCCGUCGUGAAGAUAGGUACUGGUUUUGGAUUAGGACUUGUUUUCUCACUUACCUUCUUUAAAAGAAGAAUGUGGCCAUUAGCCUUUGGCUCUGGAAUGGGCUUGGGAAUGGCCUACUCCAACUGUCAGCAUGAUUUCCAGGCUCCAUAUCUUCUACAUGGAAAAUAUGUCAAAAUUGAGGAGCCACUCUGAAGAACCUGGGCUGGAAGGAUACAGUCCUUUUGUGAGACAGAUUUAAAGCAAACAGAGUGGAGCAGGAGCAGUGACUCACGUCUGAGAACAUCCCGGUGGGAGGGAAAGAGAAAUCACGUUUAUUCCUCAGGAAUACUGAAGUGCCCUGGAGUAAGCUGACACUCUUCUGUAACAAUGUUAUCAGUAAUGCUUUAAACUCCAGCACACUGUUUAUGUAUUUGAAACCAAGUCUGUUUCUUGUUUUGUAUUUUCUCUCUGGAAAUUGCAAGGAGGUGGUCUUGAAAGAAAUAAAUGAAACAAAAAUAGGCA